AUUGAACGCUGGCGGCAUGCUUUACACAUGCAAGUCGAACGGCAGCGCGGGCUUCGGCCUGGCGGCGAGUGGCGAACGGGUGAGUAAUGCAUCGGAACGUGCCCAGUAGUGGGGGAUAGCCCGGCGAAAGCCGGAUUAAUACCGCAUACGACCUGCGGGUGAAAGCGGGGGACCGAAAGGCCUCGCGCUAUUGGAGCGGCCGAUGUCGGAUUAGCUAGUUGGUGGGGUAAAGGCUUACCAAGGCGACGAUCCGUAGCUGGUCUGAGAGGACGACCAGCCACACGGGGACUGAGACACGGCCCAGACUCCUACGGGAGGCAGCAGUGGGGAAUUUUGGACAAUGGGGGCAACCCUGAUCCAGCCAUGCCGCGUGCGGGAAGAAGGCCUUCGGGUUGUAAACCGCUUUUGUUCGGGAAGAAAUCCUCUGGGCUAAUACCCCGGGGGGAUGACGGUACCGGAAGAAUAAGCACCGGCUAACUACGUG
rnacentral:rRNA from 1 species